GGUAGUCAUAGGAGGAUGAACCACCUGUGAUCAAAACGAUCUUCAUCCGUCGCUCUUCUUCUUUCAUGUGUAACGAAGCUUCCGUAAGAAGAAACAUGGAGAAAUCUAAUAAACUUUUUGUGCAAGUUCGAAGGCCGCUGCCACUCGGUUUCUGUUCUGGUAAUAAAGUCGUAUCUGAGUUUUAUGAGAUGCUCAAUAAUUUGUUCAGGGUUUUUAUUAUGGAUUCCCCACCGAUUGUCGUCACAAGUGAAGGCUUUUUUUUUUUUUUUACCACGGAUUCUCCUUCGAUUGAUUAUCUUGAAUAUUUGAGUAUUCUGUUAUAUCCAUGGCCUAUGAGUUCAGGGGGCUACCCUCUUGAUUACCAGCACUCAUGGUACGGUGAAUAGCCGUAGACUAUGCUUUCACACAAAUAAAUUCCACUGUAAGAAUUAGAAACUUUUUGUGAAAUCUGUUGCUAUUUUUGUUAUUUUUAUUCAUUUAUGUUAUAUUAAGAAUCAGGACCGUUGAGUUCGAUGAAUUCAGGUCCGUAUGGAACGUUCAUCGGCGUCUAUGACGGACAUGGUGGACCGGAGACAUCAAGAUUCGUUAAUGAGAAUCUGUUCGCUAAUCUCAAGAGAUUUGUGUCUGAGGAUCAAGAAAUGUCUGCGAAUGUUAUCAAGAAAGCGUUUUUAGCGACGGAGGAUGAGUUUCUUUCGGUUGUAAGAGAACAAUGGCGGAUAUGCCUGCAAAUAGCAUCUGUGGGAACGUGUUGUUUGGUGGGUGUUAUUUGUAACGGGUUGAUUUACGUUGCGAAUGCUGGAGAUUCGAGAGUGGUGUUAGGGAGAGCUGAUCGAGAAUGCAGGCGGUGAACGGUUAAAAAGCCAGAAGUCGAAGGACAUUGAUAAAAAACAGCACAGAGAUCAAUCGACACAAAGUUCAAAUAGAAACGGGUCAGAAAGACAGAAAAUGUUGAAAAAACUAACGAAUGGGAUUGAGGAAUCAUAGAAGGAGAAAGAUAAACUAAUUGCACAGAAGGAACAUUUGCUUGAAGCGUUUAAAGAGAUAGAGCAGAAAGCGUUCAAGGUUUAGGAUGAUUAUAAGAAGACAGAAGAGCUGAUAGAACAACACAAGGCUGUGCUUGGAGAAGCAAAAUCCAAUUAUGAAACUUGAAGAUGACGGUAGAUUAGUUACGGACAUCUAAGGUGGGUGUAGACCUCAAUCAGGUUAUAAAAGGGUUCUUGGGUCAGGCUCCAGGAUAUUGUUUUGGGGUGAGUGCCGAAUUGGGUCUGACCCGUUCCACGUCGCCUAUCCAGGUUUGUAUGCGACUGGGAAAAAUAGGCGUUUUGUGGCCGAUAGGAUCAAGGUUGUUGCAAUUGUGGUCCACUGUAAGUGGAAGUGUAAUAGGGCCCCGGUGCCAGCCGCUGACAUGUCGGAGUUACAGCAUAUUGCCCACUGUCUUGGGGUUGCAUUGGUAAGUUGUGGGGUCUGCACGGAAAUGGGGUAACAUGUGAAGCAUUUGGAUUAAAAUGUUUAUGGGGUCUGGACGCACCAUGGAGGCUGCACAUUAAUACAUUGUUGCUUUUACUUUUGCAGUUUGAUUAGAGGCUUUCAAGGUGAUUGGACAAUCUUGCAAGUAUUUAAAUAUAUGAGAAAUAUAUGUUGAAGGAGCUCAGGAUGCCGGCUUAGGGUUACAAAAGAUUGCUGUCGAGAGCAUGAGUGAACCUUCAUGUUGAUGGAUCCGCACAUCGGUGUCGUCAUGAUAUGCUUCCUCUCUGCGUCAAAAUCCAUUUUCUCAAUAUGAAUUCCAGCGGUCAGGCCAGCUCCUAGGUAUGUUCGCCCAAGGAUGGUUUGUACUUGUGUUUUAUAUUCAGGGGUUGUAUCUAAGAAGCGUUUUCUAUGAGAAUUGAAUACUUGGAGCAUACAAAAAAAAA